rnacentral:rRNA from 1 species
UGGGGAAUAUUGCACAAUGGGGGAAACCCUGAUGCAGCGACGCCGCGUGAGUGAUGAAGUAUUUCGGUAUGUAAAGCUCUAUCAGCAGGGAAGAUAAUGACGGUACCUGACUAAGAAGCACCGGCUAAAUACGUGCCAGCAGCCGCGGUAAUACGUAUGGUGCAAGCGUUAUCCGGAUUUACUGGGUGUAAAGGGUGCGUAGGUGGUGAGACAAGUCUGAAGUGAAAAUCCGGGGCUUAACCCCGGAACUGCUUUGGAAACUGCCUGACUAGAGUACAGGAGAGGUAAGUGGAAUUCCUAGUGUAGCGGUGAAAUGCGUAGAUAUUAGGAGGAACACCAGUGGCGAAGGCGACUUACUGGACUGCUACUGACACUGAGGCACGAAAGCGUGGGGAGCAAA